CCGGCACGGGUGAGUAACACGUAUGCAAUCCACCUGUAACAGGGGGAUAACCCGGAGAAAUCCGGACUAAUACCCCAUAAUAUGGGCGCUCCGCAUGGAGAGUCCAUUAAAGAGGGCAAUCUUGGUUACAGACGAGCAUGCGCUCCAUUAGCCAGUUGGCGGGGUAACGGCCCACCAAGGCGACGAUGGAUAGGGGUUCUGAGAGGAAGGUCCCCCACAUUGGAACUGAGACACGGUCCAA
rnacentral:rRNA from 1 species